rnacentral:rRNA from 1 species
GACGAACGCUGGCGGCGUGCCUAACACAUGCAAGUCGAGCGGAGUCGAUCGACGGAAGCCUUCGGGCGGAAGAUGGUUGACUUAGCGGCGGAUGGGUGAGUAACGCGUGGGCAACCUGCCUCGAAGACCGGGAUAACAGCCCGAAAGGGCUGCUAAUACCGGAUGUGGUCAAGGAUCCGCAUGGAUUUUUGAUUAAAGGGGAAACCCGUUUCGAGAUGGGCCCGCGUCCUAUCAGCUAGUUGGUGAGGUAAAAGCUCACCAAGGCGACGACGGGUAGCCGGCCUGAGAGGGUGACCGGCCACACUGGAACUGAGACACGGUCCAGACUCCUACGGGGGCAGCAGUGGGGAAUCUUCCACAAUGGGCGAAAGCCUGAUGGAGCGACGCCGCGUGAGCGAAGAAGGCCUUCGGUUGUAAGACUCUGUCUGGAGGGACGGAAGGAACGUAGGACGGUAACCGUCCGGGUACGGAACGGACCGACGGACCGUAACCGUAACCGUUACGCCGACGCCAGGACCCGGCCGGGUAAAAACGUUAACCGUACUAUUCCUUAGAGGC